GACGUAGGGCGCGAGCGUUGUCCGGAUUUAUUGGGCGUAAAGAGCUCGUAGGCGGCUUGUCGCGUCGACUGUGAAAUCCCGAGGCUCAACUUCGGGCUUGCAGUCGAUACGGGCAGGCUAGAGUUCGGUAGGGGAGACUGGAAUUCCUGGUGUAGCGGUGAAAUGCGCAGAUAUCAGGAGGAACACCGAUGGCGAAGGCAGGUCUCUGGGCCACUACUGACGCUGAGAAGCGAAAGCAUGGGGAGCGAACAGG
rnacentral:rRNA from 1 species